UUCCAGCUCCAAUAGCGUAUACUAAAGUUGUUGCAGUUAAAAAGCUCAUAGUUGAAUUUCUGGUCUUGGACAUCGGUCUGCCUCAAACGAGGUAUGCACCUGUUGUCCGAAUCCAUCCUCGGGGAGAACGUGCCUGUCAUUCAGUUGAUGGGUACGGUAUCCUCGUCAUUUACUGUGAGCAAAAUAGAGUGUUCAAAGCAGGCUUAUGCCGUUGAAUAUAUUAGCAUGGAAUAAUAAGAUAAGACCUUGGUCUAUUUUGUUGGUUUGUACUCCAAGGUAAUGAUUAAUAGGAAUAGUUGGGGGUAUUCGUAUUCAAUUGUCGGAGGUGAAAUUCUUGGAUUUACGGAAGACGAACUACUGCGAAAGCAUUUGCCAAGGAUGUUUUCAUCA
rnacentral:rRNA from 1 species